CCUUGGGUCCGGCAUAACCCCGGGAAACUGGGGAUAAUUCCGGAUAACGCAUAUAUGCUGGAAUGCUUUAUGCGUCAAAUGGAUUCGUCUGCCCAAGGAUGGGUCUGCGGCCUAUCAGGUAGUAGUGGGUGUAAUGUACCUACUAGCCGACGACGGGUACGGGUUGUGAGAGCAAGAGCCCGGAGAUGGAUUCUGAGACAUGAAUCCAGGCCCUACGGGGCGCAGCAGGCGCGAAAACUUUACAAUGCGGGAAACCGUGAUAAGGGGACACCGAGUGCCAGCAUCAUAUGCUGGCUGUCCGGGUGUGUAAAAUACACCUGUUAGCAAGGGCCGGGCAAGACCGGUGCCAGCCGCCGCGGUAACACCGGCGGCCCGAGUGGUGAUCGUGAUUAUUGGGUCUAAAGGGUCCGUAGCCGGUUUGGUCAGUCCUCCGGGAAAUCUGACGGCUUAACCGUUAGGCUUUCGGAGGAUACUG
rnacentral:rRNA from 1 species